rnacentral:rRNA from 1 species
CAUGCCGUAAACGAUGAGUGCUAAGUGUUAGGGGGUUUCCACGGUUUCCGUGUCGUAGCUAACGCAUUAAGCACCCCGCCUGGGGAGUACGGCCGCAAGGCUAAAACUCAAAGGAAUUGACGGGGGCCCGCACAAGCGGCGGAGCAUGCGGAUUAAUUCGAUGCAACGCGAAGAACCUUACCAAGGCUUGACAUAUAGAGGAAACGGCCAGAGAUGGUCGCCCCGCAAGGUCUCUAUACAGGUGG